GCAGACUCACCAGACACGAGCCCAUCAGACUAGGGAGAAAAAUAGCAACUGUGACUUUGGUUUGUGCAUAGAUUCUAAUAACAUGCCUCUCUUUGAAUAAAGUCUGAGGGG